UACCCCAUAAUAUACUGGAUGGCAUCAUUCGGUAUUGAAAACUCCGGUGGAUAGAGAUGGGCACGCGCAAGAUUAGAUAGUUGGUGAGGUAACGGCUCACCAAGUCUGCGAUCUUUAGGGGGCCUGAGAGGGUGAUCCCCCACACUGGUACUGAGACACGGACCAGACUCCUACGGGAGGCAGCAGUGAGGAAUAUUGGACAAUGGGUGAGAGCCUGAUCCAGCCAUCCCGCGUGAAGGACGACGGCCCUAUGGGUUGUAAACUUCUUUUGUAUAGGGAUAAACCUACUCUCGUGAGAGUAGCUG
rnacentral:rRNA from 1 species